AUUGAACGCUGGCGGCAGGCCUAACACAUGCAUUUCGAGCGGCACAGAGAAACUUGUUUCUCGGGUGGCGAGCGGCGGACGGGUGAGUAAUGCCUGGGAAAUUGCCCUGAUGUGGGGGAUAACCAUUGGAAACGAUGGCUAAUACCGCAUGAUGCCUACGGGCCAAAGAGGGGGACCUUCGGGCCUCUCGCGUCAGGAUAUGCCCAGGUGGGAUUAGCUAGUUGGUGAGGUAAGGGCUCACCAAGGCGACGAUCCCUAGCUGGUCUGAGAGGAUGAUCAGCCACACUGGAACUGAGACACGGUCCAGACUCCUACGGGAGGCAGCAGUGGGGAAUAUUGCACAAUGGGCGCAAGCCUGAUGCAGCCAUGCCGCGUGUGUGAAGAAGGCCUUCGGGUUGUAAAGCACUUUCAGUUGUGAGGAAGGUGGUGUCGUUAAUAGCGGCAUCAUUUGACGUUAGCAACAGAAGAAGCACCGGCUAACUCCGUGCCAGCAGCCGCGGUAAUACGGAGAGUGCGAGCGUUAAUCGGAAUUACUGGGCGUAAAGCGCAUGCAGGUGGUUUGUUAAGUCAGAUGUGAAAGCCCGGGGCUCAACCUCGGAACUGCAUUUGAAACUGGCAGACUAGAGUACUGUAGAGGGGGGUAGAAUUUCAGGUGUAGCGGUGAAAUGCGUAGAGAUCUGAAGGAAUACCGGUGGCGAAGGCGGCCCCCUGGACAGAUACUGACACUCAGAUGCGAAAGCGUGGGGAGCAAACAGG
rnacentral:rRNA from 1 species